rnacentral:lncRNA from 1 species
CACAACUCCCUUGACUACCGACGUACAGGUAGGAUUGCCUUUUAGCUGCUUCUCCUUUUACUGCAAAAAUUUUUUAUGUUGACCAGAGCUACUAGCUACCUUCUGAUACAGUAUACAAAUGGGAACUUUGACGGAGUAGUACAGUAUGCUCGAAACAAGCGAAUUCAGGUUAGUAAGCAACAUUUGUUUGUCACUGUUAUAACCAGAAACUAAUUUGAAGUAACAAUAAAUCAUAAUCCUUGAUUUGUAGGUAGCAUUGACAGAAAAGUGGGGCGACAUGUACAAGGACAGAGGAAUA